rnacentral:lncRNA from 1 species
GUAGCUAUAUUUAAGACUUUGCUGUUAUAACAUUGUAGGCUGUUAAUUCUCCAAUGCCCACUAUAAAAUAACAAAGUGGCGAUUUUGUUGCUUUCUUACAGAGUCAGCAGAGAGCGUACAACUGAGGAGCUUUCAUAAAUCAUAAAUCACAGGAUUUACAAUUGGGUGAAAUACAAGAGGAGAUAAACAACAAAGUGAGGUUUUUGAGAUAUUGGGAAUGUUGCUGACCUGUAAUACUGUUUCCCAUUGUCGAGAAGGUCCUGCUGUGGUUCCCAGUCACAAAAGCUGUGAAGGACGGAAGGGGAGCUCGCUUUGAGAAGUGAAGACCUGACUAACGACCCAGACUCAUUACCACAGUCCCUAUUUGUGGAGGUCAAUUGUUUGUGACAGAGCUUGAGUGUGGGCUAGAAACUUCUCUAAUCUGACAUCCUGUCAUGGUGGGUUUGUGAGUGCAGACUAAAGGACAUGAGACUUUGGGAGCCCAAGCACGAAUUAUCACUGCAGCCUCUUCAAGAACCUGACUCAGCAAGGAUGACUUAGCAACCAAAAGCAAGGACGCAUUUUCGAUAGUGACACCAGGUGGUAGCAACAAAAGUAAUGAAAAUUAUAAAUAAAGGCUCACAGUGCCCUGAUCAAACUCUCUAAUUUUGUCUUGUGAACUACAAACAGUCUCCAUGAACUGAAUAAAAGCCUCUCUUCCCAAGAUUCCUGUUGCAGAAAGAGCUUAGAUAACUCAGAAAUGGGGUAAUUCAAUUGUUAAAAGUGUGACCAUAUUGGUACUCCAAGCUGGUUAAGCAGGUUUUCCAGGUUACACUUAGUUGUCUCCCCAGUGACCCCGUGAAUGUCUGCAAUGUGGGGAAUAAUCUUUAUAUCUCUCUGGUGAUGAGAACGGUGAUUUGAACAUCGUAAAUAUUUGAAUUGAAUUGUUUCUAGCCCAUGUUUAUUUUAAUGUUUAUAACUACCGUCAUAAAACAUGUAACAUUUAAACGUUUUUUAUAAAAACGUAUUUUCCAUUUGCAAACAUGCCUGUAGCAGGUA